rnacentral:rRNA from 1 species
AUACGAAGGGUGCAAGCGUUAAUCGGAAUUACUGGGCGUAAAGCGCGCGUAGGUGGUUUUGUAAGUUGGAGGUGAAAUCCCCGGGCUCAACCUGGGAACUGCCUCCAAAACUGCAUGACUAGAGUACGGUAGAGGGUGGUGGAAUUUCCUGUGUAGCGGUGAAAUGCGUAGAUAUAGGAAGGAACACCAGUGGCGAAGGCGACCACCUGGACUGAUCCUGACACUGAGGUGCGAAAGCGUGGGGAGCAAACAGGAUUAGAAACCCUAGUAGUCC